GAGAACGUUGCCGCAGGCAACGGCCCGAAGGGCGAGGAGCGAUAGCGACGAGUUAUCCUUCCCCCACCACCA
rnacentral:sRNA from 1 species